rnacentral:lncRNA from 1 species
CUUCACGUGCCAGAAAAUCUUGGAAAUAUGAAUCAACCAGGCUUUCAUAUUUCUCAAAAUAUGGUUCUGCAAUAUACCUCUUGAAACACUGAAAGGACUUUCCAUUUCGAUUGUUGGCAUCAGACUUCGGCUUACAGUUAUCCACCUGUAAAAGAAAGAAGCAAAGGAAUACAAGUCCAAGAACUUGGUAAAAAUAGGAAUAUCCAACUGAUGAAACAUCUACAACUACAAAUUGUGAGGAUUGGUGCACAUUAAAAAAAGUGAAUUAAAUGAUAGAGCAUGAAAACCAAAACAACUGCAAAAAUUUUAUACUCCCUCCAUCCCUAAAUAACUGACGUUUUGAAGGUUUUCACACUUAUUAAGGAAGUCAUUUAUUACUCCAAUUUUGUCAUUAAGAUUGAUAUGUAUUACCACAAUUACCCUUGCAUUAAUUAAGAAAAGAUGUACUCCAUAUAGUUGUCUAGAUAAAUGAAAUACUCCAUAUAGUUGAGGGCAAUAGAGGAAAAAUUGUAAUUAAUGCUUCCUAGAAACUGGUAACGUCAAAUAUAUUGGGAAAUUUUGAACUCCCUAUAACGUCAAUUAUUUAGGGAUGGAGGUAGUAGUAAGCAUGCAAUCCUUAUAUUUAUUAUAUCUAUAUGUUGACCUCUUGCCAAUUGAUUCUGGCUAGCAUGAAACUAAGAAAGAGGAUGUGCCUAAGGCGGCAUAUAUCUAUAUGUAUUAUGAUAAAUAACAGAAAACAAAUUAUAUGGUCCACUCACCUCAGUAAAUUCAGAAGAAACAUGCUUGCAAGAGCCAAUGCCAGUAACCAAAAACAGUACAAUACCAACUAUCAGAAAAAUACUUGGAAAUGUAGAAGUAACAUGAUACCGACUAGGUCCUCUGUCCUCCUUCUGUAAUUAUGUUUCCACUUUGACUGGUCCAAUACAAUCUGGAGUCUAGAGUCUUCAAAUAAACUUGAAUGGCUUAAUUUAAUUCAACAUUAUUCCAAACUGCAAAAGCAAAAUUGAAAAUUCCAUUUAGAAAUCUACUUUUGGAAUCCACAGGCUAGUUAUUAAAUAUGCAUGUUACAUCAGAUGUAAAUAAAACUCAAUACUAAUUCUAGAUGUGAUGCUGUAUUAUAUGUCUGAUUCUCGAGAAAUUAAAUGACUAGUUCACCAACGUGAGUAAUAAUUUUUCAAAGCAAGGCCAAACAUUCUAUGCCAUAAUCUACCAUUGUUGUGUCUAGGUAAGGAUCCUACUUGCUGUGAACUUAAAAUUUGCAAAAACACCAAUAACUUCUUAAAUUGAUUACCCCACAUUUCUAACGAAAACAAACGACUGUAAAAAUAUAAAUAUACAGUGCAAACUAAACAAAAGUUUAAAACACUCAAAUGCAAUCACUCAGUGAAAACUUUGAAGUAUAUGCAUAGAAAGGUUUACACUAUAAAGUUCUGAGCAAUUGAAGCCAGUUCAAGAACAUUUCCCCCAUGAAAUAUCAAAUUAUAAAACAGACAAAGCAUGAGUGUGAAUCAUUCACUCUUUUUUCUUUGAAAUUGGUGUCAAAUUUAGCAAAGUAUCCAAGAAAUCUGCAGAUUAGUAAUUAAUUGCUUCAAUGCUAAUUAAACAAAAAUAUAUAAUUCUCAUUAAUGGAAUUUGUAAUAAUACCUAAAAUGCAUUUCAUUUCGAUCCAGCCAUGAUAAGUUGCUCUCUCUAAUAUCAUUCAGUUUCCAAACUACACCCAAAUUAAUAUAUAUAUAUAUAUAUAUAUAUAUAUAUAUAUAUGUGUGUGUGUGUGUGUGUGUGUGAGAGAGAGAGAGAGAGAGAGAGAGAGAGUGUAACUGUAUAUAAACGUCGGGAACAAAAAAAAGAUUUAAACUUUACCUGAGAUUUGAUUUGAAUGAAUAUUGCUGGAUACUUUGGACUGAAAACAGAAAUCGGAAAGUGGUCGUUGGUUUUGGGUGAAAAUCACAAGACCCUCUAACAAAUC